GACGAACGCUGGCGGCGUGCCUAAUACAUGCAAGUAGAACGCACAGUUUAUACCGUAGCUUGCUACACCAUAGACUGUGAGUUGCGAACGGGUGAGUAACGCGUAGGUAACCUGCCUGGUAGCGGGGGAUAACUAUGGAAACGAUAGCUAAUACCGCAUAAUAUUAAUAAGUGCAUGAUAUUUAAUUGAAAGGUGCAAUUGCACCACUACCAGAUGGACCUGCGUUGUAUUAGCUAGUAGGGGAGGUAACGGCUCACCUAGGCGACGAUACAUAGCCGACCUGAAAGGGUGAGCGGCCAAACUGGGACUGAGACACGGCCCAGACUCCUACGGGAGGCAGCAGUAGGGAAUCUUCGGCAAAGGACGAAAGGCGGAACGAGGAACGCCGGGUGAGUGAAGGAGGUUUUCGGGUCGUGAAACUCUGUUGUGAGAGAAGGACGGGUGUGAGAGUGGAAAGUUCACACUGUGACGGUACCUGACGAGAAAGCGACGGCUAACUACGUG
rnacentral:rRNA from 1 species